rnacentral:lncRNA from 1 species
AGCUGCUACGCUGGGGUCUGAGCGGCUGCCUCCUCCCUACCCGCGAGCCCGGAACGCUGCACAUAGGUGAGCGGCGCGGGUCGUGGUUCUUUCUGCCGCGGCGGGAGAGGGGCUGUGGCAGGUGGAGGGGACCGAAAUGGGAGCCGAGGCAGGUGUGUAGGGGAGACGCGGGCUAGUGAAGCCGGGGUCCGCUGAGAAAAAGUGAGAGCAUCGGGAGGAGCCCCGUCCUCCCGGUGUCCAAAGGAGUGGUUUGAGAUAAAGAGAUGGGAAAGGUAAGGGACCCCCCCCCCCUUUUGGCAACCGCAGAGCGAGCUUAGAUGGAGUAAUUAGAGAAGAGCCGGGAGAUUGGCAAAGGGGGCUUGGUGGAAGUAAAAGUGAUAGGGCUCCAUUGGGUGGGAGGUAAAGAAUGGAAAGAGGGGUCGAAGAGGGUCGGGGACAGAGCUGGAAACGAAGGUAAGGGAAAUGGUCACCAAGGCCGGGCUCAAGCGGCAAGCAGUCCGUUGCUCUCGGUUUGGAGGUCCGGGAAGUUUAAAAAACCCGAGCGAGGGAUGGAGAGAUGAAGUUAGAUUUCGGAGACGUAAAUUCUCUAGAUGUUAGUAGUAUUGUUUGAAUCCUUGGCUGCUUAGGGAUUGGGAUGAGAUGGACUCUUCGGGAGGAUGUGCCAAUUGAGUUGUAAAACGGAGUCAUCUCUGUCUUAAUAAAGACGCUAUCGGACACCCCUCUCCCUUGCUGAGGAAAGCCUACCGAGAAGAUGGUGCCAACCAGAAAAGAAGCAGUUGUACUAUGACUGGCAGGAGUUGGUUGAAAUAUUCCAGUUGUGUUGUUUGACUUUAAAGAUUAUACGAAUAUUUCUAAAUGACCAGUGAAUUGCUUGCUCUUCUUUUGUGUGCGUUUUGUUUUGUCCCCAACGGGGUUUUUAUUUUAAAGGAACAAUUUUGCCAACUUUCAGGCUUCCCUACAGAAUAAGAACUAAAGCAGAAAGAAAGUAUUGCUGCAGGCAUAACUUAUACUUUCCAAACUGCCAGGAGGAGGGACAGGCAGUAAGGGGCCAAUUGGAAUUGGAAUCUUUUAUCCGCCUAUGAAAGCUACAACCAAGUGCUUCUAAGAAACAAAAUGAGAUUUGUCUAGCAUGGCUCUGGUUGGUUUUUGAACUCCCCGCCUCCCCAGCUUUAAAAAUUAUACUCUUUAAACGUGUAAAAAUUUAUAUAAAUCAAAGCCAUUUUUUUUUCUUGUUAGAGAUUAGUUCUCCCAUGAAUUUUUGAAGAUGGUAAAAGGUUACAUUUUCUUAUCUUCCAACUCAAUCCUAAAACACUGGGACAAUGCAAAUAUCAAGUCCCAACCUGCACAGUGCCGCUUCCCCUUUCAUGUGGCAAACAGAAAUGCACACCCUGUUGCCAGUCCUCUUCACCCUAAAAUUUGCUCUGAGGAAGACUUGUGGGAAACUAUAACUUAAGUGAGGUGUGUUGAAGGGGGAACCUGGGAAGGUUAGAGGUGGAAGGGUGUGAAAGGGAUUUGUGUUUGGAGACAGAUUGGCAAGAAUGCAGAUAACCCUGCCCCCAGGGUACUUUGGGACUGGAAGCCUUUUCUUCACUGGACUCAUAGAAUAAAUAUAGUAGAAGUGAGUCAGAAAGAAAGAGGAUGUGAGGAGAUUUAUUUGUGGUUU